GGAAAGUCCGGGCUCCACAGGGCAGGGUGCCAGAUAACGUCUGGACGGUGCGAACCGAUGGAAAGUGCCACAGAAAACAUACCGCCCAACUGGUCCACCAGUGGGUAAGGGUGAAAAGGUGCGGUAAGAGCGCACCGCGUUCGUGGUAACACGAACGGCAGGGUAAACCCCACC
rnacentral:RNase_P_RNA from 1 species